rnacentral:rRNA from 1 species
GCCUAACACAUGCAAGUCGAGCGGAAACGACACUAACAAUCCUUCGGGUGCGUUAAUGGGCGUCGAGCGGCGGACGGGUGAGUAAUGCCUAGGAAAUUGCCUUGAUGUGGGGGAUAACCAUUGGAAACGAUGGCUAAUACCGCAUAAUGCCUACGGGCCAAAGAGGGGGACCUUCGGGCCUCUCGCGUCAAGAUAUGCCUAGGUGGGAUUAGCUAGUUGGUGAGGUAAUGGCUCACCAAGGCGACGAUCCCUAGCUGGUCUGAGAGGAUGAUCAGCCACACUGGAACUGAGACACGGUCCAGACUCCUACGGGAGGCAGCAGUGGGGAAUAUUGCACAAUGGGCGAAAGCCUGAUGCAGCCAUGCCGCGUGUAUGAAGAAGGCCUUCGGGUUGUAAAGUACUUUCAGUUGUGAGGAAGGGGGUGUAGUUAAUAGCUGCAUAUCUUGACGUUAGCAACAGAAGAAGCACC